GUGGUACCCAGGCCCCAAGGACUGCUCUGAAAUUAAGUGAAGUAGUACUUAGGAGGCACUUAGCACUGUGCUGGACACGGCAUAGAAGGUGGCAGCUAAAGCCACAGACCAAGGAUGAUCUUAAGUACAGGUCUGAGCACACAGUUUACCCGACUCCUGACUCACAGGCUGUGUUUAUUGAGCAGCCAAAAUUGCACUGGAACCUGCAGAAACAGCCCAGUUUGGCCUGCAAAUCAUGGUGUUCCAGCCAGAAGCUGCAUGCCAGCUCCUUACCUUUGCCCUCGCCUGCGGGACAGCCAGUCCAGGUGCUCGCAGAGCCAGGUGCUCAAGGGAGGGGUGUGUAGGGGAGCGGUACACACAUGUCCACGCGGAGGGCAGCGAAAACAGAAGGCUCCCAGGAGCGGUGAAGGAGGAGGCCACCUUCCCAAACUGAUUUCUGCUUGCCCCUGAGACGCGGGAUUGGAAAGGAAGAUGGUCAUGACGUUGAUGCUGACAGUAAUACACAGACAGGCCCACAAAUGUAACUGUAUUUAUGGGUCAGACUUCGCAGACGAUCAUCACUCAGAGGACGAAGACGGAGCAGUAACUCACCCAGGCAGCGGAGGCACCUUCACACGCUGGCUUGCCCUCCCUCCCUGAGUUGCUCACAGGCAGGCGGGAUGGUGAAGGUGACCCCGUCCCCGCCCCCGCCCCCCAGUAGAAUAGGAGAUGAGAUCUCAGCCGGGAGGCCGCAGCUGGGAGGCCGAGGGGCGACUGGGUGAGGCGGUUAAUGACCCGUUUCCAUCUGCAUGUGACCUGCCCCGGGUUCUCUGGGCCUCUGGCUGUGGAGUCAGACUCCCGAGCUCAAAUUCUGACCGAUCUGCUGGCUGGUAAUGUGAUCUCAGCAAGUUACUUAACUCCGCGAAGCCUCAGUAUCCUCAGCUGCAAAAUGGGGAUGACAACCUCAUGUCACCAAAUUAUUAUAAAGACAUAAAGAACAGAAAACAUUGAAUACAGUGCCUGGCACACUGGGAGGGUUCAAAUAUGUUGGGUGUUAUUUGCAUGAAUAUAGAUGAAACUUAAAACAUCAUGUUGAGUGAGAGAAGCCAGACACAAAGGAGCACACAACUGCCUGAUUCACCAUAGAUGAAUCUGUGGUGAAAGACAUUAGAACAGCAGUUGUCCCUGAGGUGGGAGGUGGGGACAGGGGGACCAGGAGGGGACGCAAGGGGUCUUCCAAGGGUAAUGGAAUUGUUCUAUGUCUUAAUAGGGAGGUGUGUGCAUUUGUCAAAACUCAUUGAACUGAAGAUAUAAGAUCUGAAUUUUACUGUAUAUAAAUUACACUCAUUAAA